rnacentral:rRNA from 1 species
UAGGGAAUUUUCGUCAAUGGGCGCAAGCCUGAACGAGCAAUGCCGCGUGAACGAGGAAGGUCUUCGGAUCGUAAAGUUCUGUUGAAGGGGAAAAAGAGUCGGAGAGAGGAAAUGAACUCCGAUUGAUAUUACCCUUCGAGGAAGUCACGGCUAACUACGUGCC